rnacentral:rRNA from 1 species
AGGGAAUCUUCGGCAAUGGGGGCAACCCUGACCGAGCAACGCCGCGUGAGUGAAGAAGGUUUUCGGAUCGUAAAGCUCUGUUGUAAGUCAAGAACGGGUGUGAGAGUGGAAAGUUCACACUGUGACGGUAGCUUACCAGAAAGGGACGGCUAACUACGUGCCAGCAGCCGCGGUAAUACGUAGGUCCCGAGCGUUGUCCGGAUUUAUUGGGCGUAAAGCGAGCGCAGGCGGUUUGAUAAGUCUGAAGUUAAAGGCUGUGGCUCAACCAUAGUUCGCUUUGGAAACUGUCAAACUUGAGUGCAGAAGGGGAGAGUGGAAUUCCAUGUGUAGCGGUGAAAUGCGUAGAUAUAUGGAGGAACACCGGUGGCGAAAGCGGCUCUCUGGUCUGUAACUGACGCUGAAGCUCGAAAGCGUGGGGAGCGAACAGGAUUAGAUACCCUGGUAGUCCACGCCGUAAACGAUGAGUGCUAGGUGUUGGAUCCUUUCCGGGAUUCAGUGCCGAAGCUAACGCAUUAAGCACUCCGCCUGGGGAGUACGACCGCAAGGUUGAAACUCAAAGGAAUUGACGGGGGCCCGCACAAGCGGUGGAGCAUGUGGUUUAAUUCGAAGCAACGCGAAGAACCUUACCAGGUCUUGACAUCCCGAUGCUAUUUCUAGAGAUAGAAAGUUACUUCGGUACAUCGGUGACAGGUGGUGCAUGGUUGUCGUCAGCUCGUGUCGUGAGAUGUUGGGUUAAGUCCCGCAACGAGCGCAACCCCUAUUGUUAGUUGCCAUCAUUCAGUUGGGCACUCUAGCGAGACUGCCGGUAAUAAACCGGAGGAAGGUGGGGAUGACGUCAAAUCAUCAUGCCCCUUAUGACCUGGGCUACACACGUGCUACAAUGGUUGGUACAACGAGUUGCGAGUCGGUGACGGCGAGCUAAUCUCUUAAAGCCAAUCUCAGUUCGGAUUGUAGGCUGCAACUCGCCUACAUGAAGUCGGAAUCGCUAGUAAUCGCGGAUCAGCACGCCGCGGUGAAUACGUUCCC